rnacentral:rRNA from 1 species
GUGAGGAAUAUUGGUCAAUGGGCGAGAGCCUGAACCAGCCAAGUCGCGUGAAGGAUGAAGGUUUUAUGAAUUGUAAACUUCUUUUGCAGGGGAAUAAAGUACGGUACGUGUACCGUUUUGUAUGUACUCUGCGAAUAAGGAUCGGCUAACUCCGUGCCAGCAGCCGCGGUAAUACGGAGGAUCCAAGCGUUAUCCGGAUUUAUUUGGUUUAAAGGGUGCGCAGGCGGGUUGAUAAGUCAGCGGUGAAAGUUUGCAGCUUAACUGUAAAAUUGCCGUUGAAACUGUCGAUCUUGAGUGCAAAUGAGGUAAGCGGAAUGUGUUGUGUAGCGGUGAAAUGCUUAGAUAUAACACAGAACUCCGAUUGCGAAGGCAGCUUACUAAGCUACAACUGACACUGAAGCACGAAAGCGUGGGGAUCAAACAGGAUUAGAAACCCUUGUAGUCC